AUGGAGCGGCGCACCAAGGCAAGGCAAGGCAAGGAGAGGGUAAUCCGGGAUCCUCGUCGAGCCUUCUCUUCGCCGCUGUCCUUCUUCCGCGAAGCUCCCUCGUGCUCCUCCGCCUCCCGCCCAUCAGCUACGUCGGCGGCGGCUGCAGCUGCCUCUCCGGCCUUGCUGCGCGUUGGCUCUGCGUCCGCGUCGGCUACUGCCGCUCCAGCCGAGGUGAGCGCCGGCUCUGCGCCCCUGUGGGAGGCGGCGGCCGCCGCGGCCUUGCUGGGCGUCGCCUUGGCAUCCGAGCCGCCCCUGUUCGUCGUCCCGGCAUCCCAGACGACCUCGAUGCUGCUGCCGUCUGCCUUGCCCGGCGACCCGUCUGGUCCGGGCGAUGUGGUGAUGCCCGUCACAGUGCAGGGAGCUCCCAAUGCUCUGGCAGCAGCCUCCCAAUGCAGUCUGCAGCUCGUCCCAAUCGCUCCACUUGCGCCGCUUCAGACGUCGACUGCAUCGCCCACCGCCGCCGCUCUAGCGGCGGAUGCCCUUGCUCGGCGCAGGUCGGACCCGGCCAUUAGUGGGCUUAUGGCCGGUGCUCGUCCCAAUUGCGGUCGUGGCCUGCAGGCCACCACCCCGGCUCCUCUUGCCACCGGCCAGCUGCCGUCGUCCCCGGUGUCGACGCCUACACCCUUGACGGGGCCAGGUCAGGUGGCCGCUCCCGUGCUGUCUGGUUGGGGGGACUGGCUAGGAUGCUUCGGAAGGAAGACGACGUCCGCUGAUCCCAUGUGUUGUGCGCCAACAGCUCGUGAGGAAACAUUGGGAGACUGGCACCUCGUUACCGGCCGCCGCCGUUCGCCAUCUUCAAAUGCCUUCCGUCGGCCCGGUUCCAAUGCCCGGAUGGCUCAUCCGGCGUGGCUCCGGGAUCGAUGCUUUCGGUGUCUCUCCAAAGGUCAUCACGCUCACUCUUGCAGGGACCCAAUUCGGUGCUCAGGAUGCCUUCGUUUCCGCCACAAAGUGCGUUUUUGUCAUGCUCAGCACCGAUCCGAUCUGACUACAAAGCCGCGUGAUGAUGCUGCAAAGCCUAACCCAGCGCCUGCAUCGGAGGUUGACGCAACACCGGCUGACGUGCAAUUGCAACCCGUCCUAGCGGAGGAGACCGAGCUGCUUCGCACUGAGCUGCGCGACUGCCUUGCGCGAGUUGAGAGUGUUUUGGGGAGAGCAGAGGCUGCUCUCGCCAAACUAGAGGUUGUGCCAGCUGUGUCCUCACUUCCUGAGCUUCAGAUCGGGUCUCCUGUUGGGGAGGAAGCAAGCCUCUAUGGACAUUUCUCCCCUCGUGCUACAUCAUGUUCGUCGAUGUCUGUACUGCUCACUGGCCCUGGGUGUGUAGUCAUCGAUGAGGUCAUGGCUCCAGUGCUGGAGAUUAUGCCUGAGUUGCAGGAGCGUUGUGGGGAGCCUACUUCACCUCUUUCAAUGUAG
rnacentral:rRNA from 1 species